rnacentral:rRNA from 1 species
UACGGAGGGUGCGAGCGUUGUUCGGAAUCACUGGGCGUAAAGGGCGUGUAGGCGGUCCGCUAAGUCUGAUGUGAAAGCCCGGGGCUCACCCCCGGAAGGGCAUUGGAAACUGGCGAACUCGAGUCCCGGAGAGGAAGGUGGAAUUCCUGGUGUAGCGGUGAAAUGCGUAGAUAUCAGGAGGAAUACCGCUGGCGAAGGCGGCCUUCUGGACGGUGACUGACGCUGAGACGCGAAAGCGUGGGGAGCAAACAGG